UCCGGACGAUAUGGCAUUUCAGCUUCCACUGAGAUCUCUUGGCUUACAAUGUCUGAGAAAGUUUCCCAACCAAAGAUUCAGUUCUGAAACUGCUACCAUAACAGAAUCAACAAAUGUACCACCAGUAAAAUCCAGACAUAAAAAG